rnacentral:ncRNA from 1 species
AGGUUAUUGACAAUGUGCCAGUAGCGGAGAGAACAGGCGGAUCGUAAAGACGCCGUAGAUCCAUCCCUGGAGGCUCGUUCCGCGCCCUCCCUGGCGCGGACGCUUU